GUCAGGAUGGCUGAGUGGUGUAAGGCGACAGACUCAAGUUUAGGUCCUCGUAUGAGGGCGUGGGUUCAAAUCCCACUUUUGACA
rnacentral:tRNA from 1 species